rfam:Ixodes scapularis strain Wikel colony gcontig_1108379083400, whole genome shotgun sequence.
CCUUGGAUAGCUCAGUUGGUAGAGCGCUGCACCAAUAAUGGAGAGGUCCCGGGUUCGAUACCCGGACCAGGCG